CAGUCCCUGGAAACUACUAUUCUACUUUCUGUUUCUAUGUAUUUGCCUAUUCUGGACAUUUCCUCUAAAUGGAAUCAUACAAUAUGUGGCCUUUUGUG